GAUUACUCCUGUCAGUAAGAAUACUUACUCCCGCUGUUAUGCUGCUCCUCACACACACACGCACGCACGCACACAAACACACGCAUGCACACACACACAGCCUGUUAUAGUACACACACACACACACACACAGAGCCUGUUAUAGUACACACACACAAACACACACACAGAGCCUGUUAUAGUACUGCUACACGCACACACACACACACACACACACACACACACAGCCUGUUAUAGUACACACACACACACACACACAGAGCCUGUUAUAGUACACACACACACACACACACAGAGCCUGUUAUAGUACACACACACACACACACAGAGCCUGUUAUAGUACUGCUACACGCACACACACGCACACACACGCACACACACGCACACACACGCACACACACGCACACACACGAUCAGCAUCCCUAGACCCCAAAACCAACCGUCGCGCACACCCCAAACGUGUGAUCACGUUUAGAGUGUAAAUGAAUCUAGAUGAUAUUUACCUUGGUGCCCCUGCGCAUCAGCCCAGUUCAACCCGUGCGGUUUCUCGUAGCACUUGGCGCGCGGAUUCCUCAAACAUUACAACUUUCCUCAACUGUCAGCUAUCCUGAAACCUUUGAAGUUUGUAGAGCUCUGAAAGAGUACAUUUUAAGUGGAACAUUUACUCCACCAUGCAACAAAAAAAUGCGCAAGGAAAUGCGGCGUGUGUCUGAAAACUUCCUAGCAAAAGACAACCGAUUGUUUUACACUGGACCAAAUAAAACGUAUAUGAGACUACCGUAGUUGUUUGUACUGAGGAGGAAAAAAGGUCUGUUUUGAUGGAGUGCCAUAACUCCGGCACCGGCAACCACAACGGUGUACGAGGCACGAGAGACAGGGUGAUUGCUGGAUACUUCUGGCCUACCCUAAUGAAAGAUGUAACUGAGUGGGUAUGUUGUGAAGUUAUAACACAAUUUCUUAUUUAUUUCCAGAGCGUAAAACUGCAACACAGUACAUAUAAAUGUUUUAUUUAGUAUAAAUAUUACAGUAUUAUUCAUACAAGGCUGAAGUUGGUUUGAUAUUCGCAGCUCCUGAUUCGUUUGGUUGUAUGUACACUACCUUCCAUCACUUACUUUCUCCAGUUUUACUUUAACGUGCUGUUCUAGUGUAAUUCAUUCAUUUACUAAGUAGAAAAUAUCUAAACUAGAGAAUUAGCCUCAUACUU